UCACAUAACACCAACACAGCUGAAAGAAAAAGAAAGAACCAAGCAAACAAGCGAAAUUCCCUCCCUCAAUCUGCUCUACCCCUCCUUCUCCCCCCAAAACAGCGAGCACAACACCAGCAGUAACAUCACACACACACACACACACAGGUGUGUGAGCGAAAAAGAAAACUGUUUUUGAAUUCCUUCAUCAAAAAAAAACGAAAAAAAAAAACGGAAGGAUACGAGAGCACUCUCUCUCACACACACACCAGCAACAACGGCAACGAGCUCAUAGAGAACCUAUUAGCGACCACCGCGAAAGCAACGCGCGCUCUCCCGCUCGUACCGCUACGAACACCGACGACUACGGUUGCUUCUUCUCUUCCCCACUCCGUCUUUCCCGCUCUUUCUCUACCGCUCGACAUUUCAAGGCGAAUAGUCAGCACACGAUAAAAAAAAGAAAGAGCCAGAAGACAAGGAGACAGGGAAGGCAACAAAACGAAGGGAGAGGGAGGCGAAGGGUACAAGAAAGGAGUGCUGAACGCAACGAAGAAAUCGCCAUAACCACUCAUUUAUCAAAAGAAAUAAUAUAAAAGAGGAACGACACCAAUAUUAACACCGUUAGGAGGGAAACAAAAAAAAAAGUGUAGUUCACGCGUGCUUCCACCACCACCACACUACCACAUAUAUAUACAUAUAUACAUAUAAGUAUACACAUACGGUCCUUUUCCCUCCUCUUCUCCUCCUCGUCCUUUUGCACCCGAGACAAGAGCGCAAGGCCUUACGUGAGCGCAGGACAGAGAUCGAAAAAACAAAAACAAAAACCAAAAGAGAGAAUCGAAAACAAAACACACACAAAAAAAGGAAAGGAAAGACAAAGAAGAUCGCCGUUAGCUUUUUUUUGUGGUGCGUGUGUGUGUGUGUUUCGGAUCUCUUCCUUACCUCUUUGCUCUUUCCCCCCUCUAUUAUUAUUAUUUUUUCUCCCCACCUUUCUCCUUGCUCCUCCCUCGCACAGGCGUCCCUCUCUUCCCCCCUCCACCACCGCGCCUUCCAGUGACACCACCAUCAGCACUUGUCUUCCCAACUCUGUCUCUCUCACACUCUCUUUUACUGUGCGUACAAUUGCCUUUUCGCCCUUUUCGUUGAUCCAGCUGUUUCUUCCGCUUUCAUCCUCAUUUCUUUGCCUCCGCUCUCCUCUCUCUCGAUUUCCCGCUUAAUCCGCUGUUCUCUCCCUUUUUUUUUUAAGUCGUGCGUGCGCGACUGGUAGGGCGAUCUCUCUCUCCCUCUCACACAUAGCAGCACUCCAGCACGGAAACGGAAGAAAAAGUGAAAAGGCACGCGAGUGGUAGAGCGGUCGAGCACACAGGUGUGCUACGGCGGUUCGACGCAAAAUCAGGCACGGAAGCAAUCGACCAUUCAAGGCAGAAAGCUGGAGGAUUUAAGACAUCAAGACAAACGCAGCGUGUUAUUGGUGUGUGUGUAUUUUCUUUUUUUUGUUGGUGGGUGACGCCUUCGGUUCGUGUUCCUGUGUUUGCGCUGAUGUGUUGAUGUCAAAAUACCAACUACCGCUAUCACUUCCUCCCCCCUCUCCCCACCCCCGACACAUCUUCCGUCUCCACAUUGUGCACUCCUCUCUCGGCUUUACUGUCCAUAUUUCUCUUGGACAUCGUCUUCUUUCGAGGCUCUCCUGUGCGUUUUACGUCUCCAUCCCACCUCUCUUCUUUGUCUCAGUCUUUUGUUUUCCCUUUUGCCCUCUCGCAUUUUAUUUUUCACGCUCUUUUUUGUGCGUGUGUGCUUUUUCGUUUGUGUGUUGGGUCCUCGUAUCGGACUCCCUCUCCACCCUCUACUCUUUCUCUCUCCUCCCUUCGCACCCGCGCCCCACCCCCUUUUCCACUGCCUGACGAACAUCCGCGACGAUCACAGCCACAGCAGCAGCAGCAACGACACAAAAAGCUCCUUUCCUCUCCUUUCUCCUGCUUCACCAGCCAGCCUCAAGCUUGUUUCGGAGGUCUUUGGUUUCUCCUUCAUCCUUUUCCUCGUCGUCCGUUUUUGUUUUCUUCUCUCCCCGUUGACUCUGUCUCGUCGACCUUCUCAUCCUUCUUCGUUCAUCUCCUUUCUGUUUGCUGUUAUCAGUGUAACUCGUGUUCGACUUCCGCUUUCCCCUCCUCUUUUUUUUUUGUGUCUUCUUGUUCCCUUUUCACCUUUGUUUCCUCUUGUUAUUCGCUGCCUUCUCUUCUCUCCCUGUUUUUAUUUCUUUUCCUUUUUUUUUCUUGGCUAAGUAGUCCGGACGAGUGCUGCUGCUGCUGCUGCGCUGUAGCUGUAGCUACUUCCCCUUUCCUCCCCCACUCCCUCCCUCCCUCCCUCUGCUCGUUUCCCUUUGUUUUCCCCCUUUUAUCUCACUUGUAUUGUUUCACUCUCCCUUCACCCCUCCUCCUUUUUUCCCGUUUCUUCGCUCGGUUUCGCGUUUGCAUUCUUCAUUGUGGUUGUCCGUCUCUGCUGCCCCUUCUCUUCUCUUCCCCUCUCCUUUUUUUCAUUUUGUUUCCCAUCUGCUCUUUUUAUUUUUCUGUUUCUUCUCCAUCUCCUCAUUGCCUCUCGGUAGUGUCAUCUGUCUCUCUUUUUUUGUGCGUUUGCGGGCGUACGUGUGUUUUGUUAUUAUUUUCGUUUCGUUCGUGUAGUCCAUUUUUCCCCUUUUCGUUUCGCUCGUUGAGAUUUCACUUGACUCGAUUCCUUUUUUUCCUGUGAGGUGCCUCUGUGGUUGUCCGUCUCUUUACUGUUAUUAUUGUUAUUAUUUUCUCGCGUGUGUGUGCGUGUGGUAAAUAAGAAGACACUUUUUCUUGGAUUUGUCCUGUUCUUUGUUUUUUUCUUCGUGUUCGUCGUCCUUGUUUCCGUGGUUCGGUGUAUUGUGUUCUCCCUUUCCAUCUUCCUGACUUGUCGCUUCUCUUUUUUUCUUACUUGCCACUUCUACAUCACCGCCACUAUCACCAUCUCUCUGUAUACGUAUAUAUCCAUUCAUUUAUAUACAUCUACAUACAUCGACACCCACACCCACCCACCCACACAAACCUAUAUAUGUAUAGAGUGUAUGCGUGCACCUGUGUACAUACAUUUUCUUUCGAUCGCCUUCUCCAUUUUCUUUUUAUUUUGCCGUGCCACUUGCGUUUCCUGUGAUUAUUAUUAUUCUCCCCACUGCCCUUCUGUUCGCUUCCUUUCUUUUUAUUUUGUGUGCAUGUAUGUGUGUGUGUGUGUUCUGUUCGAAGGUGAGCUAACACCGACUUCCGCCCAAACAUCAAGAGCACCAGGAAGGGAGAGAGGAGAGACACUCCAUUUCUUUUUUUUUGUGUGUUUUUUUUUUGGGUUUUGGUUUCGCUUGUCGAAUCUCUUUUCUUUCGAGACACAGAAGCAAAACGAACAUCUACCACCGCCACCGUCGCACAUAACGUGGCACAUAUAUUUCAGCUCUUCGUCGUCGUCCUAGUCCUCAACCUCUGUUUUUUUUCCUAAUUGCUCUACGCCUCUGUUGCUUCACUCUUUCCAUUUCUCCUGUCUCCCAUCCCACGCUGUCUUCCUCACCUCUCGCCUCUUUGUUAUCACACACACACAAAAAUAAGCUGUGCGCUCGUACUCGAAGUGGCACAUUUUAUUCCUUUCUUGCUUGCACUCUCUCCCUCUCUUGUUCGCGUUCCUUCUUCUGGUGUGUGCGCGCGUCUUGACUUCCCUCCCAUUUUUGCCUUGUGUGUGCAGAAAGUCGGCGGGUAUUUUCCCCUUGUUUUUAUUUAUUUAUUCUGCCGUCUUCUAUCUCUUUUUAUCUUGAGCGGCUGCGUUUCCUCCCCGUGAGCGUACGCGCGCGUGCUGUGCGUGUUGUGUGUGUGUUGUGUGUUGUCUCUUUUUUUUUCUGUUCGCCCCCUUUUUGUUCCCUUAUUGAACAGCGCAAGAAAACAACAGCAAGCAAAAUAAGUGAACCAUAAACACGUAGAGAUCGCUCACGACUCUAUCUUAACGCUCGAGGCGAAGAGCCCCCCUCCCUCUUCCACCCCCCCCCCCCCCCCCCCCCAUACAUACAGAGAAGAAAGAAAGCAAGAACAGCAGCAGCAAGAAAGGCAGGUCAUCGUUACACACACACACACACACACACAAACACACACGCAUAUAUAUACAUAUACAUCAGCGAGUGGUGCCCCUUUCUUUUCUUCCAUUCCCCCAUAGCAUUGAAGAAGUGGAGGGAAAAAGGAAAAAAACACAAUAAAUUUAUUAUCAAAAAGAAAAAGGUCGCGUUGCAAGUACCCCGGGAUCGGCGAGUUUUUUCAAAAAAGAAGAGAGACAGGAACCCCCUCUCCCCUCCCUUAUCACCACCUCCCCUUCCCUACCAUACCUCCUCAAUAAACGAACGAGCGGGCAGAGACGAUAAACAACAAGAAAACGAAGGAAACAGCUUGAGCGUGCAAUUGAAUAAAAAAAAAACGUAACAGCCAUACCGCGACAACCGCGUGCACGGGGGAAACAAGUACGUCUGUGCCCGUUAGUGUCUGUGUGUGCUUGUUGUGUUUCUUGCCACCCCCUUUCUUUUCCCUUUGUGCGCGACUGAGCGUGCCUCCUUGGGUUUUUUCCCAUUCUAUUCUUGUGUUGUUAUUCGUGCCCAGAAACGCAGGCACAGACAGUCGCUCUUUUCUUUUUGUCUUCUCUACGCCCUGUCUUUUGUUUUGCUUCUCUCCCUCCCCCUCGCUCCUCCCUCAACGACGACCUCCUGUCCACUUCUCUGUACCAUCGCGUUCCUUCGCUCUUAAAUUGUGUCCACCUUGCCCCCCCCCCCCCCCCCACACACACACACACACGUACCCAAACACACGCAGAGAGAGGGAGAGAGGGUGGAGAGUUUCCACUCGUUCCGUUUCGUUGGCGUGUACGUGUGCUCCAAAUCCUAAACCACUAAUACGGACAGACACAGAGACAAAAAGUCAUUCGUUUCUUCCCCCUGCUUAUCUCGCUGCCUUUAUAAUAUCUAUAUCUAUAUCUAUAUAUAUUUAUCAUUCCGUCUUCUUCGCAGCGUCCACACUAUCACCACCACCUGCUUUGAGGCCGAUCAAGAGACGGUACGCUGCUUGUCUUGUAUGGGAGGGCGUGUGUGUUGGCGUGUGUCUGUGCCUCUCUCCCUUCUCUGCGCGCUCCCUCUCCCGUUUUUACCUUCCCACCCUCUAAGCCGCGGCCGCUGCGGCUUCUUUUUUUCGCUCGUUUCGGAUUGGCCCCACGUUUGCGGUUUUCUAUCUUCCCCAGCAAGAAUUUUUUUUUGGACUUGCUCGGUGGUGUGGAAGCGUUGACUUCAGCGCGUCCGUUUUGCGUGUUCUUUGUCCUUUCCAUUCACUUUUCAUUUUCUCUGUUGACGCAUGAGUUGGUGGAACGACUUCUCCACACACCGCAACGGCGGUGUCGUGGAUGGGUUGCCGCGGCCGCGGCAGCAUCCAGCGUCCGAUUCCUUCUCGACACAGGAGACGGCUACUCAAGGCGCUGCCGACCACCAUGAGCACCAUACAAGCAACGCCAAUAGCCCGAACAAGAGCACCUACGUGAGCAAGGCAAACCUUAGCGACACCAGCGUCGGCAGCGGCUUCGCCUCUCAUGAAGCAACCUGGGGGACAGCGACAGAGUGCAGCGACGUCGGCUCUCUUUGGCAGACAACGACCAGCGUUUGCGGCGUGACCGAGUCGGAUCAGCUUGGCGUAUCGGCUGCCGUGUCUGCGUAUGGCUCGCCGGCCCUCCAACAGCAGCAGGAAAAGCCGCCCGCACAACAGGAAGAGCCACCAGCGCAGCACCCUCUCCAGCCGCUCUUGCUGUUCCCUACGGCGCGCGCUGUCGAAGGAGUUCAGUCGUCCUCCACGAAGAAGGGUGCUCGGCGCGGCUCUGGCUCGAACAGCGACAGCAGCGACGCCUACUGCAGUGGCGGGCCUGUCGGAGUUCUCAGCUUUGCAAUGGACUACUACGGACCAUCGUUCACGAGCGGGACGGAAGGCUUCAAAACCAACGCCGCCACGUACAGUCGCGGCGGCCAUGCUUCCAGCAGCACGCACACAAUCAACGACGACAACGACAGCGUAGUCAGCGGCGACAUCGACGAAGCCGUCGACAAAGACGUCCGCUAUGAAGAGGUAGAUGUCGGCACCAUAUCGAGCCUCAUCGCAGCUCUGCAGGUGCGAGACGCAGCCAACUUGACUGAUAGCGACGCCCCCAACGCUGAGGAUGAGGAGGGGAAGAAGGCUGGCCGCUCGAGUUGCGCACAAGACAAGCCGUCAGCACGCGACUCGCAGGCUCAAGCAGACACCGGCAGGGGUGUAGAUGUGACCGCGAACUCUGCCGCAGCUAACAAGCAGCAGCACCAGCAGCACGAGGUGGGCCACACUACAAUGAUCGCGAACCUCGCGCCCGUCUUUCACGAUCCCAACGCUGGCGCUUCCCUGAUCGCCAGUGCCAACACCACGCAGAGCAUCAGCAGGCGCCAUAGCAGCAACAUGUACAACAAUAGCACGAGCGGCAGCGCCCUCGCACACAACGCGAGCAGCAGCAGCGGCUUCUACGAGGUUCCACUGGGAGAGGCACCAUCUGGUAGCGUCGUAAGCACAAGUGGGCGAGCAGGACCAGGAGCAAGUCCGCGUCACCACAUUAACGAGGUGGUUCCCCUUCAACUCACCUCGUCCACACUGCACAACGUCCUCGCUAGCUUCCAAUCGGCGCUGGUGGAGCGCUCAAGCGACGUGCCGUUGCCGGGGACUAUUGGCGACCUCUUCAACGCGACAGGGCGGGGCACCAGCUCGCAGAACGGCAGCAACAGCAGCGGUGCCGCGGGUGGCAGCCGACUGUGCCACUACGGCUCGACUGCGCAAGAGGACUGGGGCUCACAAACCUCGGCUGCUCCUGCGACCGCUGGGGCCUCUGUUGCGGUGACGGCGUGUGGCAGCAGCGGCGACGCGUCAGCCGUGUUGGAAGCUCCUGUCACGGCCCGUAACGGCAGCCCAGUUAUGCGUGGCCGUGUCAACUCCGUUGUGGCGCACAAGCUCAACCUCGAUGGAGCCGCGCGUCGCUCUCAGAUGCAGGACUUGCGCGGCAGCGGUGGCUUCCCGCCUGCUGCCGCAAGUCUUGACAGCACAUGCUCCUCCGAUACACACACCCCAACUCUGUCGACUCAUGGGCGACUGUGCGCACCGCAACACGUCUACACGCAGGAGCGGGCAGCCUCGCCUGACUCGAGUGGGGACUGCUUCUUGGCACACACCUCCUCGUCUGUACUGGGUAUGCUGCAUCACCACCAACGAGUGACGAGUUCGGUGACAACGGAGGGCUUUGUGACGCCGCAUCACCACAUGCGGACGGCGAGCGAGGUGUCGCUGCCGGCAGCGGCCGCCACAUACCAUGGCGGUAGUGCGCUGCAACAGCGCAUCGACGACCGCGGGUGCAUUGCGGUCGUCGAUCCGCAGCGGCGCAAGCUGCACGUGCCGCUGUCUGCCAUCCACAUGACCAAGGCGCUGAAUGGCCGCCUCAAAACACCGUCGCUAUGCCUGCUCUACCAGCUGGGCCGCUGUCGUCAGGGCGAAAACUGCUAUCAGGUGCACGUAGACUCAGCCAUAGUGGAGCGGCUGCGUGCCGACGCGAAAAACAUGCCAUGCUGCUGCUUCCAGCACGGGGAUAGCAACAGCCAGGUGAUGGACCGCACGGCGUACGAGGGGCGUUCUUUGGGGAUUGCCGGCCAGUUUUCUGUUCCUCUCACCCGAGUGGCCUACACGGCCGGGCUGCAGCGCGUGCUGCAAGACCAACCGGCGUGCGCGCCGGUGAAAGCAUCCGUGCUGUGCCGCCUGCACGGCCAACCCGGUGGGUGCCGCUUCGGGGCGGACUGCAGGUUUGUGCACGUCUGCUGCCAGAUCCUACAAAACGAGCUGGCCAGUAUCAUGGCGAACGCGGUGGCGGCCGCCCAGCAGCAGCAGCAGCAAUCGCGGCCAGCCAACGGGUCGCCGCUUUUGGUGGACUUGAUCAACAACGGGCUCAUUCCAUCAUCGUCUGGGACGAUGCACGGCGGCGCCAGCACGGCGAUGAUGAGUCUCAACAACGCUGCCUCCUCUGUCGUGUCGGCCGCGGACUUUUCUCUGUCCCAGUUCUCGCAGUCGGUCCCUGCUUCUAGCACCGCUGUGAUGAACGCUUUUGCAAGCCGCGUGCCGCCUUCGUCUCAGCAGCAGCAGUCUUCUACCCCGCCCUCUGUGACUAUGCAGCCUCUCCCCUGCGCCAGCACGCUUUCAUCGCCGUCCGCAGGCACCUACUACACGCUUACUAAGUUGCAGCCGCAAGUUUCCCAAGUGCAGACGCCUGCCGGUAGGCCUUUCCCGCUGCAGGCCUCUCUGCUCGGGUCGCCGCCGUCGGCGUGCCACGACCACGUGCGCACCCUCAGCACACAUAGCAACGGCACCUACCAAUCCUAUGCAAGCCCUCCCCUCGCGCAGACGCCGAACCACAGCGAGGUGGCAUCACCCAUAAACAUGGGGCUCUCCAUGGCGCGCAGCCUAAAUACUUUCCCGGCAUCCACAGCAACGACAGCCGGCGGCAGCGGCGGCGCCUUUCCAUCCUUGGCGCAGCAUCAGCUUUCUCACCAAACAACGCCACUGCAGCGCCACCAGCCAUCGUCACUGGCGCAGCAGCAGCAGCAGCAGCAGCAGCAGCCACAGCGACUAUUGGGCCUUCAGCAACACCAACAGUCCGCCUCUCAGCAGAUUUACGUCCAGCAGAUGAACACAGACGGCAGCGUCUCCCUCGUUCCCAUUAAUGUCAUGCAGGACUUUGGCGGUAGCGGCGUGUAGACUGUUCACACACACAUACACAGGCGCAUGCGCACAGAGAAUCACUCACCACCCACCCACCCACUCCCUCCUCUUCUCAUCUCCCCCCGCGACGGACCUGGAGCUCUUCUUAUUUCCAAUUUUUUUUUCUCAUCACGAUGUCCAUCGCUCUUCUCCCUUCUUUCCUUCUGCGUUCUCUGCGGUGGUCAUUUGCUUUUCUCCUUUUUUCUCUUGCCUUCUGUGUGCGUCGAUGUGUCUGUGUGCCUGUGUGUGUGUCUGUUUCUGCUCUUUCUCUCCUUCUUUUCGUUUGUUUCGUUUUACACAUCGUCAAGGGAUUGCGUGUCUUUUUCAUUCCAGAUGGUUAGUGCCCCGCCCUGUGCACUUCCCUCCUCCGCCCUCUGCUCCCUUUCUUUUUUUCGUUUCUCUGCUCUCGUUCUCCUUCCUGCUCCACUUCAUGGGCUCCAUCAGUAAGGUCUGUAUAUAUGUGCAUGCAUAUUGAAUGUGUGCAUGCGUCUAUAUCUGUGAGUUAUGCGCCUGUGCCUGUGCCGAUGGAUAUGUGUGCCACUUCUCCUUUCGUCGUCUCGUCUCUCUUGGUCUGUGCAUGGAUGUCUGUCUGCGUGUGCCUUCUUCCUCUUGCUGCUCACGCUUAUUAUUAUUAUGUCACUUGUAUGCGCGUGUGUCUGUGCAUGGCGUCGCACGCUCCAGACGCACAGCUCACCCCUCCACUUUCCCGCGCUCAAAUUCGACACAGACAACCACGGCCAUCGCCUCCACGGCGACGUCAGAUGGGACGGCACUCGUCGCACAACGCGAAAGCCGAUAACAAUAUAUAAACAAGAACGACUAAAGUUACGCUGCUACGUUUAUGGGCGUAUGCGCAUAUAUACCUAUGUAUGUAUAUAUAUGUGUGUGUGUAAUGACUCUCUCUCGUUUUCUUGUUCUCAAACACGCACAUACACUCACACUCUCUUACUGUUGGCUAUAUGUAUAUAUAUAUAUAUAUAUUCGGAUGUUGGUUGCUGGUGUCUUCACGCUACCUCCAUCCCCGCCCCAUCUUUUCUGUGAAGGCGUAUGCGUGGCUUUCAAGACAUCGCUUAUUUGCCUCUGUGUGUGUGUGUGUGCUCUGGUCUCUCUGCCCAUUUUUCAGGUGGGCUCAUGACUCAUCUUUCUCCUUUCGUCUCACUCUCUCUCAUCGUCGUCCGUGACCACGUCGUGACUUGCUGUAGUCGCACAAGAUGAAAAAAAAAACAAAACAAAUAACACUGCCGUCUUUCCUAGCACACACACACCCACACACGCACACUCGUCGCGUGUUUUGUGGGCGCCCGCGUGUGUUUUGUGUGCUUGAAUUUCUCUUCUCUAUAUCUAGAUCUAUAUGCUUAACGUAUUUGCACGUUUUUUCGUCCCACUGUCGUGUCGGCUUCUUCGUUGAUCGGCUCUUCUCUUGUUUUUUUUUUCUGUUUGGUGUGCGUUGUGUUCUCUCGUUCUGGUUUGCCUUUUUCUUUGUUGGGGCCGUGACGCUGUAUGCUUCUUCGCUUGAAUGCCAACUUUCUUCUUCAUUGACUUUGGUGUGUUGUCGGUGCAUCACCGCGCAACUUCUUGUCUCGCCCGCUGUUCUUCUUCGCUAUCUCCUCCUCGACUCCUUACGUUUUUUUUUUUUCUUUGCGUGUGUGCGUGCUGGCAAAGAGAAACGGAGGUGCUGCGAUACGUAAAGGAGUGGGUCGCGAGUGGGGGAGGGAGUGGCGCAGCGCGCUCACGCCGAGCCGCUGCCUCUUUAUGCUUGCGACGACUCUUUGGAAAAAGUAAUAACAAAGAAGGCAAACAGAGAGCACCAAGCACUUGCAUAUAAAUAUAUAACGAGGCGGCUGCCGCAGGCUCGUGAGCUCUUUGCGAUGACUGCGUUGCCUGAUGUUUCGCUGCGGCGUCUACCUUUUUCUUGCUCAAGAAAAGCUUUGCAAAAAAAAAAAUGCAUGCAGCAUAUUUUGUCACGCUCUUUUCGCGCUUCCGCGUCGCGAUAAUCAGCACCGCUGCACCGGAGAGGCGAGGGUUGUGUGGUGGAUGAAGGGAAGCCGGAUCUCGCGUCGGA
rnacentral:misc_RNA from 1 species